GACGUAGGGGGCCAGCGUUGCUCGGAAUUACUGGGUGUAAAGGGUUCGUAGGCGGUGUGGAAAGGCGGGAGUGAAAUCUCUGGGCUCAACCCAGAGUCUGCUUCCGAAACUGCUGUGCUUGAGUGUGGGAGAGGCGCGUGGAAUUGCAGGUGUAGCGGUGAAAUGCGUAGAUAUCUGCAGGAACACCCGUGGCGAAAGCGGCGCGCUGGACCACUACUGACGCUGAGGAACGAAAGCUAGGGGAGCAAACAGG
rnacentral:rRNA from 1 species